AUACUGCCUGGUCGAAAGAGUGGUACACUACUCUGAAGUUGUGAAGAUCUUGCGUGAAAUUUAUCCUUCCUCAAAACUUCCAGAAAAGUGCGCUGAUGACGAGCCAUUUGUGCCGACGUACCAGGUUUCCAAGGAGAAGGCAAAAAACUUAGGUCUUGAAUUCAUUCCCCUUGAGCAAAGCAUCAAGGAAACAGUUGAAAGCCUGAAGGAGAAGAACUUUUUGGACUCUUCUGCUGCACUUUGAAUAUCGCCCGAAACAUGAUGAGGAACAUCGAGAGUUGGUAGCAGUGCCUAUUGAAAAUAUGUUUUCCAAACCCCUAUAUGUACCAAGCCUCCCUGACUGGAGUUACAUGCAUCCACAGAGAUUUAGAAUCUACAUAUGAAACAAUAAAGUACUCGUCUUUUUUGCUAUACUGAAAAUUUGAACAGGAAAUAUCCUUUUGUGUUUCCUGUUGCAAAUUCAAGGAUAUAGCAAUGAUGAGUAGAUUUUAGUGCGUAAUUAUAUGUUGGACGAGAAUUUAUAAAAUCAAGGAGCAGCAUUCCUUGUAAUAUCAGGGUAACGACUUUAUAAAUUGUGUAUGGAAUUGUUAUCAACAGAAUUUUUUGGUACGAAUUGCUUUUAGGCAGUCCACCUAAAAUCAAUGCGAUUCCACCCUUGAUGCCAUUUGUUAAUUGGACAUGAAUGGCUUUCUUUAA